rnacentral:rRNA from 1 species
ACAGAGGGUGCAAGCGUUGUUCGGAAUUAUUGGGCGUAAAGCGCGUGUAGGCGGCUUUGCAAGUCGGGUGUGAAAUCCCCCAGCUUAACUGGGGAAGUGCGCUCGAAACUGCAGAGCUCGAGUACCGGAGAGGAUGGCGGAAUUCCCCAAGUAGAGGUGAAAUUCGUAGAUAUGGGGAGGAACACCGGUGGCGAAGGCGGCCACCUGGACGGUAACUGACGCUGAGACGCGAAAGCGUGGGUAGCAAACAGGA